ACUGAUAUUGAUUAAUUGCAUAGUCAUUUCUUUCUGAUUUUCAAUCAUAUUUUCAAGCUGAUUAGCUUAGCAGGGAAUUAUCUAAAGUUGCAUUUUUAAUUAUUUACACUUGGUAAUUGUAUGUCACAUUUACCACACUCCAACAUAAAAUGCAAGUGAUUACAAAUACAUGGAAUAUUUGUGCUUCACUAAUCGUCACAUCCACUUUUAGCUGCAGACCAGACUCGUGUCAUGCAGGAACAGAUGCAGAUGCAAAUGCAGAUGCCACAAGAUCCAAGCAAGGCAUUUAAGGCUGAGUGGGAGGCACUGGAGAUUGUCUGUCAUGAAUGGUCACUAGAAAAUGUGGAGGAGGAGAUGAUGGAAGAUUUUUCACCAACAGACCUUAUGGAGGACAUUGCAAAAGACAAAUAUGUUUGAUAGACAUCUAACUUAUCACCCUCUGACCUAAAGAUCUUGACUCUUGUGCCCACAAAACAUUCAUGUGGCUUUGACCUGUGCCCUUGGCAGGUAAAACCUGUCUUUUUGUGGUCCAUGUAAUACAACGUUAUGUUCAUUGUGGUAGGAAAUUCUGAAACUUUACAAUGCUUAAUCUUCUGAAAACUCUAAGGAACCCAGGCCCUUUGGACAAAAAAGGUGCAAAGGAUGAGAAAAAGGUCAUAGUCAGAUGGAAAGGCUAGCAUACGAAGGUGGUUGAUAUGAUAGGAAGUUGUAUUCCACCCUUGAUAUCAAAUAACUAAGCCCUUGGAAUAAAGCAACUGUUAUUAAAUAAACAUGGUUAAUGAUUACUUUA